UACGUAGGGUGCGAGCGUUAAUCGGAAUUACUGGGCGUAAAGGGUGCGUAGGCGGCUUGACAAGUCACUUGUGAAAUCUCCGGGCUUAACUCGGAACGGCCAAGUGAAACUGUCAUGCUAGAGUGCAGAAGGGGCAAUCGGAAUUCUUGGUGUAGCGGUGAAAUGCGUAGAUAUCAAGAGGAACACCUGAGGUGAAGACGGGUUGCUGGGCUGACACUGACGCUGAGGCGCGAAAGCCAGGGGAGCAAACGGG
rnacentral:rRNA from 1 species